CCUUUUUUUGAAAACUAAAAAAAAACAUUUACCCAUCAUCUCUCUUAUUUUCCUUAAAGAAAAACAGAGAGAAAGCUCUCAAAUUUUCUCUUAGGCCUGUGCCACCCUCAUCGGAGGUCCGGUGAGCCGAGGUCGCGAGUUCGUCGAUAAGUGAUGGAAAUCAACAGGUGGGUGCACAUGGAGGAGUUGGUGGGAGUGUCAGACGCGUGGGGCGUGGUGGCCAAGGCUGAGGGGCAUGGUGGCCGACAUGGUGGCAUGGAGAGCUGGGGUGCUAGGGGUUUGCUGCUGAAAAACCUUAAGCAAGUGGACUGUUAUUUGGGCUAGGGUUUGAUGUAAAUUGGGUUGUUUAAUAUUGUAAAUGGGCUAAUUAUUUUGGACUCUUUUUUAUUGUUUUGGGUUUUGUUAUUUUUUAUUUGUCUGGGCCCGGGCAAUAUUGGGCCUGUACACCAAUGAUUUGUUUCUAGUUGUUUAAUCUGUUCUUUUCUUAUUGGUCUAAA